AUACCCUGACACAAUUACUUCCUCCAUAAGCCAAAGUAGCUUAUUGUUUGUGGCGCAGUGGACACCGAAUCAAGGGCAGAAUGUGCAUCGAGAUCCUUAGAUCAAAUUGUAGUACGAGGUUAGGUAACAGUGAGAGUAUCUAAGUACUUUGAAAUAACCAGGCGUUACGUUGGAGCUAAUGAUUAACGCUGCAUGUCGGCUGUUUAAGUCGCGAUUUGACAGGAAGCUACACGGUCUGGGCUGUCUUCGUAAGCUAGAAAUCACUUUGGUAUCUGACUUCACGUUCACCGUCUUUCCAGACCUGAUAAUCAUCGAAUCGCACGUACAUUUAUUCGGAGAAAGAUUUAACACCUGGUCGAAAAUCGUUCACAUGGCAAAGAUUCGUCGGCGUCAGUACUAGUAACCGAAUGGCUGACAAAAACUAUUUGUUUAAUAUAUCACUUCACGACAUACGCGAAUAAAUAACACGAAAGCUGCAUCAGCUGUUGGGAAUGCUUCAAUAUCAGGUCCAGAAAUCGUGAAUGCCUAUGAUUUCGGCAAGCUUAGCGGUGAACUACCCGCAGACCUUGGAAGUUUUUAAAUUACUUUCUGUUACACAAUACCGCUGCAACAGUAAGCGGUCUAGAAGCACCAACUUACCAAAGGGACGAGGAAGAUCCCAAGGCAAGACAACGCUGUGAUGUACGGCCGAGUUGACAAAUGCUAAUGGGAUAAACAAAAUUUGGCUAAUUGUUACUCGAGUUUCUACCAGAAACAUGUGAGUGGAAACCGGUGGAGUUUGCCUUAGGAAAAAUACAUUCAGAAGGAAAAACAUCGUUUAGUCUCGAAAAUGAACGCUCAGCAGUCAAGUCUUUGUUCUUCGAAGGCCACAGCGUUGUAGAGAUGAACUGAAUAUUGGCCAAGGUUUUAGGUAAAGCGGCCUUCAUCGGAAACACAGUACGUGAAUGGCGCGAACGUUUCAAAAAGAGAGAGUAAGGUCCUGAAGAGCAGCGAAAACCCGAAACCCAAAUAGUAAAAGCGUAUUGCCGUAAUCAAGAAAACUUUUCACGAAAGCAGAGCUUGAAGUCAAAAGCUAAACCCGGAACUCAACUUAUUAUAUAAUUAUAAUUCAAAAACUGCAAAUGACGAAACUGUCUAAAAAAUGUGUUUACCGUGAAUUAACUCCAGGCCAAAUACAAGUGCGUGUGGUAUAUCACAUUUCCAAUUUUCGGAGCUUUAAUCAAUAUGAUCUAAAAUGAUGGUACUACCUGCAAUGGA